GAAAAUGCUUAGGUGGGCCGGCGGAGUCACGCGACUCGAUAAGGUUCGCAAUGAACAUAGUAGAAUGAGGUGGUAUGGGCACGUUAUGCGAAGGGACGAAAACUACACAGUGAGGAAGGCUAUGAACAUCCCAAGCAACCCCA